rnacentral:rRNA from 1 species
UACGAAGGGGGCUAGCGUUGUUCGGAAUUACUGGGCGUAAAGCGUAUGCAGGCGGACUUUUAAGUCGGGGGUGAAAGCCCCCGGCUCAACUGGGGAGGGUCACGCGAUACUGAUCGACUCGAAGGCAGGAGAGGGUAGUGGAAUUCCCGGUGUAGUGGUGAAAUGCGUAGAUAUCGGGAGGAACACCAGUGGCGAAGGCGACUACCUGGCCUGUUCUUGACGCUGAGGCGCGAAAGCUAGGGGAGCAAACGGG